GUGGGGCUCAAGUCAAGGCAGAGGCAAGACCACUACACAUCACUCUUUUACCGUCAAGUUUUGUAAUAGAUAUCACAGAAAUAUAGCCUUUGUUAAACAAACCGGCUCUUCUUCUUUCCAAGACAAGUGUGCAGAAUUGCCUUUGAGGGGUAUCUCAGCAUUUGGAGGAAAAUUGCCACCACUAACUCAGAACUUCUGAUGGUAAACAAAUGUAAGUGAUUUGAUAUGACUGUAUUUAAAGUGAUGAAGUACAUAAAAAGAGAGUAUCAUUACAUCUACCGUUAGUGCUGUAUUUGCAGUCUUAGCAACUUUUUCAUUCAUAUUUGUGAACAUCUUACAUAUAUCAACUUUAAUAAUAUUUUUUUUAAUCUGCAGUGCCAAAAUGAAUUGAUAUUUCUGAUUUUUGAUUCAGAUGAAUUCAUCAGCUGUAGAGACAGAUGUACAGUCCGGUCAAAUGGCAAUAAGACAGAUCAUCUCGUUCAAGAACAGCGCAACAUCCCUGUUCAGAAGCUUCUGAAGAAACACACCACAGCAAAACGCAUGCGGCUGGAACGCAUGAGAAGACUCUACACACAGCACCAAGCUGCAGGUCAAUCCUCCUGUAGAUCAGUCUGUUUGUGUUCUUUAAGAGACCCCACCUCACCUCAGUUUCUGCUGUGUGUCCCACUAGACCCGCUGACCCACCAGACUCUGGGUCCAGAUGAGCAGGAACACUGGGAGCAAGAAAUGGACCAACUGCUGGAAUGGACUAACUCCCUUUCUUUCCAAAAACUAGAUGACCAACUGUAUGCACCAAUUUAGAUCUCACAAGUGUUGUUGUAUUAUUAUUAUUAUUUUUUUUGAAAAUUAAAAAGUUUACAGUACAAUCAACUGAAUAUAACAAUCAGAAAGGCUUUAAAACAAUAAUAAUAAAAUGAAAUGACAUUCAUGACAAUACAUAUGCACCUUGCAUUUUAAUAGAUCGAUCUAUCUGUCUAUCCGUCUUAAGCCGUUUUUCCACCAUCAGGUUCUCAUUGCUUAACUUUACUAUUAUGGUUUUGGAUAUGGAUAUGGUUUGGUUUUCCACUGUGGCACUGAUAACAGAGCUUGUAACAGAUGUAUCAGUCAAUGCCCUGGUAAUGCAAGUACAGUGUUUCCAUACAGUACGGUAUGAGAUGUAAGUAGUGACUGUAUUUCGGUUUGCUUCACUCAAAUAGCAUGCUUGACCAGCAAUAGUAAGAAUUCACACAAAACCGAGCUGAAGUGGAAACUGGAAUCGUUUCUUAAAUGUAACCACUGGUGGAAAAGCCACUAUAGAUUAUCCAGUAAAUAUAACAAAUACGCCCCCUGUGAUAUGCAAGCACCUCUGCAUUUUAUCUUUCA